CAUAUCAAUAAGCGGAGGAAAAGAAACCAACAGGGAUUGCCCUAGUAACGGCGAGUGAAGCGGCAACAGCUCAAAUUUGAAAUCUGGCCCCCCGGCCCGAGUUGUAAUUUGUAGAGGAUGCUUCUGGGUAGCGACCGGUCUAAGUUCCUUGGAACAGGACGUCAUAGAGGGUGAGAAUCCCGUAUGCGACCGGCCCGCGCCCUCCACGUAGCUCCUUCGACGAGUCGAGUUGUUUGGGAAUGCAGCUCUAAAUGGGAGGUAAAUUUCUUCUAAAGCUAAAUACCGGCCAGAGACCGAUAGCGCACAAGUAGAGUGAUCGAAAGAUGAAAAGCACUUUGGAAAGAGAGUUAAAAAGCACGUGAAAUUGUUGAAAGGGAAGCGCUUACAACCAGACUUUGGGGCGGUGUUCCGCCGGUCUUCUGACCGGUCUACUCUCCGUCCCGAGGCCAACAUCAUCUGGGACCGCCGGACAAGACCUCAGGAAUGUGGCUCCCCUCGGGGAGUGUUAUAGCCUGUGGUGAUGCGGCGCGUCCCGGGUGAGGUCCGCGCUUCGGCAAGGAUGUUGGCGUAAUGGUUGUCAGCGGCCCGUCUUGAAACACGGACCAAGGAGUCUAACAUCUAUGCGAGUGUUCGGGUGUCAAACCCCUACGCGGAAUGAAAGUGAACGGAGGUGGGAACUUUUUUGUGCACCAUCGACCGAUCCUGAUGUCCUCGGAUGGAUUUGAGUAAGAGCAUAGCUGUUGGGACCCGAAAGAUGGUGAACUAUGCCUGAAUAGGGUGAAGCCAGAGGAAACUCUGGUGGAGGCUCGCAGCGGUUCUGACGUGCAAAUCGAUCGUCAAAUUUGGGUAUAGGGGCGAAAGACUAAUCGAACCAU
rnacentral:rRNA from 1 species